UCCCGCCCGGCCAAUCAGAGGCCAGCAAGCCUGACGUCCCCGCGGCCGACGCCGACCAAUGGCGAGCGGGCCGAGUUGGAGCAGAGAAGUUUGAGUAAGAGAUAAGGAAGAGCGAGCGAAAGGAGGGAAGGAAGGAAGGAGGGAGGGAAGGAAGGAAGGAGGGAGGGAGGCGGGAGCCAGGGAGGGAGGCUGGCUGGCUGGCUGGCUGGUGGCCGCGCCGCGUCCGGACAAGCGCCUCUCCCCUCCGGCCACUCGGGGCGUCUCGCCUCGCGUGUCCCCGACCCACGGCGUGUCCCCAGCCCUUGCUUUGAAAAGAAGCCUCGCCGUGGCCCUAAGCGAGCCCAGCCCUGAGCCCCUUCUUCCUCUCGGACUCGUCCACCCAACAAGCGGCACUUCUUGCAUCCCCUUCGCCUUGGCAGCCUCUUCUGUGUGACUUUCUUCCUAUUGCUGAUCUUCGCAUCAUCAUCACCUUCUUCCUCCUCCUCCUCGUCUUCUUCUUUGGGAAGUCCCAACUCAACCGUGCACCAUUCCACUGUGGACCCUGUACCCUCUCACAGAGAUGGGAGAUAUGGGAGACCCACCGAAAAAGAAGCGGCUGAUCUCCCUCUGCGUGGGCUGCGGGAACCAGAUCCACGACCAGUAUAUCCUGCGGGUUUCCCCGGACCUGGAAUGGCACGCGGCGUGCUUGAAGUGCGCGGAAUGUAACCAGUAUUUGGACGAGACCUGUACCUGCUUUGUUAGGGACGGGAAGACCUACUGCAAGCGGGACUACAUCAGGCUCUACGGCAUCAAGUGCGCCAAGUGCAACAUCGGCUUCAGCAAGAACGACUUCGUGAUGCGGGCCCGCUCCAAGGUCUACCACAUCGAGUGCUUCCGCUGCGUGGCCUGCAGCCGGCAGCUCAUCCCCGGGGACGAGUUCGCGCUGCGGGAGGACGGGCUCUUCUGCCGCGCGGAUCACGACGUGGUGGAGCGCGCCAGCCUGGGCCCCGGGGACCCCCUCAGCCCCCUACACCCGGCCAGGCCCCUCCAGAUGGCAGCAGAGCCUAUCUCGGCCCGGCAACCGGCUCUCCGGCCGCACGUCCACAAGCAGCCGGAGAAGACCACCCGGGUCCGGACCGUCCUCAACGAGAAGCAGCUCCACACUUUGCGGACCUGCUACGCCGCCAACCCGAGGCCCGACGCCCUCAUGAAGGAGCAACUGGUGGAAAUGACUGGCCUCAGUCCCAGGGUCAUCCGGGUCUGGUUUCAAAACAAGCGCUGCAAGGACAAGAAGCGGAGCAUCAUGAUGAAGCAGCUACAGCAGCAGCAACCCAACGACAAGACGAACAUCCAGGGCCUGACGGGCACUCCGAUGGUGGCCUCCAGUCCGGAGCGGCACGACGGGGGUUUGCAGGCGAACCCGGUGGAGGUGCAGAGCUACCAGCCGCCUUGGAAAGUCCUCAGCGACUUCGCCUUGCAGAGUGACAUCGACCAACCCGCCUUUCAGCAACUCCUCAUAUGGGACCAUAUCAUCUGCAAUACUUAGGCCCAACCAGGUGAUUUAAGGACAGAAGUUCAACCUUAACUCAAUUUCCUGGCCUAAGUGUGUUAAAACCAGAUCUUAAAAAUAAUAAGGUCAAUUUUUCCGAAGGAGGACCAGGUUCCAAUUCUACCGGAAGUGAGGUAGCAUCGAUGUCCUCUCAACUCCCAGAUACACCCAACAGCAUGGUAGCCAGUCCCAUUGAGGCAUGAGGAACAUUCCGGCAAAAUUGUGGUCCUUGUUGAAACUUUUGGCCCCCUGCUGGAGAGAGUGGGAAAACUAUCACCUUUGGGGCCUGGAGAGGGGGAAAUUUGAAAAGAAAGAAGAGAAAAGAAGAAGAAAAAGUAUUCAACACAGCUGUGUUCAUGAACCUAAUGGAAAGAAACCUCCAUGAACUGUCUGGGGAUUCUUGUUUGUUCCUCUCUUUUUAUUUUUGGUUGUUUUUGUUUUGCAAUGAUAAGGUAGCAACACUGUGAAGACAAUCAUGGGAUCUUACUAGAAUAAUAUUCCUAAAGAGCAAAUGAAAAUGCUUUUUAAUAAUAAUAAUAAUAAUAUUAUUGAUAAUAAUAAUAAUAAUCCACCCACACUUAAAGGAUCGUAGGAGGAAGAGGAAAGCAAAAAGAGACGUUGGAGAAACGUGUACGAAUUGGGAUCUGGAGAUCUCCUGUUCCAAAAGGACAUCUUUCAGUGACUGCACAUCCUGGAGAGAGACAAGAACACAAAGGAAAAAAAAACGCCCAGUGAUUCUCUUGACGUGAAUGGUGCUCUUUCUAUGGCCUUUCCCUUGCCAAAAAAAUUAUUAAAUAUUAAUAAAUUUAAACAAAUAUAUAAAUAAAAUGUUAAAAUAAUUCAAAACAUAAGAAGGAGCUCGGAUAGGUUGCAUUUCCCAAGAAGAAAGGACAAUCUUGACUCACGACCAGAAUGAGCCAUUGCGAAGGUGUGGAGCUGCGCUCGGUUUGGAAUCUCUCUCUCUCUCUCUCUCUCUAUUAUUUCUUCCUUCCUUGCUUUUUCCCUGUUCUUUCAGUUCUGUUUUUAGACAGAGGGUUCUUCGGAAGGCUUGGGCUUGGGCCGCCAAAUAGCAUGUACUGUAGCUAUUUUUCUCUCCCUUCUCCUGUUUUUAGGAGCAUAGGGAGGACUUUUCUGUUGACUUGACUCCCUUGUUCUUAUUUUAUUUUAAGGAGGUUGGGGGUUUUUCAUCUCUUUUUUGAAAAUUUUGUGUUAUGGGUUAAAAACAAAACAAAGGAAAAACAUUCGCAACAAGGUAUACCUCGCUUUGGCCACAAACAAGGGCGUUUUUCGGGGUUGUGUUUGUGACUGGCGUUGGCUCAGUAACAUUCCCCCUUCCUCCCUCCUCUCCCCCAAAGAUGUGUAUAUUUCUCGGUUUUUUAAUUUUCUCUCUUCUUUCUUUUCUUUCUCUCUCCUUCGCUGAAAACCCAAGAGGAGGGGAGGGAACCCUUUUGGUUUUUGUUUGCUCUCUUGUUGCAAAAAAAAUUAUAAAGUAAUUUAUUAUUUAUUAUCCGAAGACUUGCCACUUUUUCAUGUCCUGAUUUUGUGUCGUUGAUGUUGUUGUUUGGUUGUUGUUGGAUUCUUUGGGUUGAUUUCCCCCUUUUGCUAUUAUUUUUAGAGAACGAGAGGUCCUAUCCACGCCAAGCAUUCCUCCUACUCAAGCCUCCAUUGUAAAUAAAUACAAAUAUAAAAAAAAAUAUGGGGAGGGUUGGAUGUGGUUGGGUAGGAGGAUGUCCCCGUGGAUUGAACCCCAAGGAAAGAAUGAAGGUGGGGAUCGGGGAAGGUUUCCACCUCGGUCUGUGAAAAAUGAUGUCGAAUUCUAUUCUGUGGGACUUUUAUUAUUUUUUAUUUUUUUUAUUUGUUGGUCUUUUUUUUUUCAAGUUUCCUCUCCUUUAAGUAUUAUGUGAAAUAAAAGCGCCGUAUGUAGAAUGAUUAUAUCUUCAGGACUAUUUCACGAAAUAAACGUUUGGUAUAGAGAAAACAAUAAAAAGAAUUAAGAAUGA